rnacentral:rRNA from 1 species
AUAUCAAUAAGCGGAGGAAAAGAAACCAACAGGGAUUGCCUUAGUAACGGCGAGUGAAGUGGCAAAAGCUCAAAUUUGAAAUCUGGCGCCUUUGGUGUCCGAGUUGUAAUUUGAAGAAGGUAACUUUGAGAUUGGCCCUUGCAUAAGUUCCUUGGAACAGGACGUCAUAGAGGGUGAGAAUCCCGUUUAUGGUGAGGUGCCCAAUUUCUUGUAAAGUGCUUUCGAAGAGUCGAGUUGUUUGGGAAUGCAGCUCUAAGUGGGUGGUAAAUUCCAUCUAAGGCUAAAUAUUGGCGAGAGACCGAUAGCGAACAAGUACAGUGAUGGAAAGAUGAAAAGAACUUUGAAAAGAGAGUGAAAAAGUACGUGAAAUUGUUGAAAGGGAAGGGCAUAAGAUCAGACUUGGUAUUCAGUGAUCAACUUUCUUUCGGGAUUGUGCACUCGCUGUUUACUGGGCCAAUAUCAGUUUUGGUGGUAGGAUAAUGAUUUAGGAAUGUGGCUCCUCGGAGUGUUAUAGCCUAGGUUGAUACUACCUACCGGGACUGAGGACAGCGCUUUUGCUAGGAUGUUGGCGU